GAUGAAGAACGUAGCGAAAUGCGAUAAGUAAUGCGAAUUGCAGAAUUCAGUGAGUCAUCGAAUCUUUGAACGCACAUUGCGCCCCCCGGCAUUCCGGGGAGCAUGCCUGUUCGAGCGUCUCUUGGAAUACCCCUCACGCCGGCGGAGGCGUGGUCAUGGCGGCGGUGGCGUGCCCCGAGAGGGAGGCCACCGCGCUGGAAUCCAUGGGCGGACGCCUGCCGCGUGGCCGAGCGUGAUAAGACGCACUGGCGCUCGCGCGCGGCGAGGCUGCCGGCCCUGGCCCGCUCGUCGGGCGGGGACAGCAACACUUGGGAACUCCUCGAAUCAGGUAGGGAUACCCGCUGAACUUAAGCAUAUCAAUAAGCGGAGA
rnacentral:misc_RNA from 1 species